UUGGGAACAUGCCUUGAGGUGGGGGACAACCGUUGUAAACGACGGCUAAUACCGCAUAAUCUCUACGGAGCAAAGGGGGCUUUUAGCUCUCGCCUUUAGAUUGGCCCAAGUGGGAUUAGCUAGUUGGUGGGGUAAUGGCUCACCAAGGCGACGAUCCCUAGCUGGUUUGAGAGGAUGAUCAGCCACACUGGAACUGAGACACGGUCCAGACUCCUACGGGAGGCAGCAGUGGGGAAUAUUGCACAAUGGGCGCAAGCCUGAUGCAGCCAUGCCGCGUGUGUGAAGAAGGCCUUCGGGUUGUAAAGCACUUUCAGUCAGGAGGAAAGGUUAGUAGUUAAUACCUGCUAGCUGUGACGUUACUGACAGAAGAAGCACCGGCUAACUCCGUGCCAGCAGCCGCGGUAAUACGGAGGGUGCGAGCGUUAAUCGGAAUUACUGGGCGUAAAGCGUACGCAGGCGGUUUGUUAAGCGAGAUGUGAAAGCCCCGGGCUCAACCUGGGAACAGCAUUUCGAAACUGGCAAGCUAGAGUGUGAUAGAGGGGUGG
rnacentral:rRNA from 1 species